UACGUAGGGGGCUAGCGUUGUCCGGAAUCAUUGGGCGUAAAGAGCGUGUAGGCGGUCCGGUAAGUCCGCUGUGAAAGUCGGGGGCUCAACCCUCGAAUGCCGGUGGAUACUGUCGGGCUAGAGUGCGGAAGAGGCGAGUGGAAUUCCUGGUGUAGCGGUGAAAUGCGCAGAUAUCAGGAGGAACACCUAUUGCGAAGGCAGCUCGCUGGGACGUAACUGACGCUGAGACGCGAAAGCGUGGGGGAGCAAACAGG
rnacentral:rRNA from 1 species